CGGGAGUGCCAGACCCGGGAACAACUUCUACGUAACCUGCCCAUCCCGGUUAACAACAUUUCCAAAUUAUGCUAAUACAAUUUAACACCGUUGUUCGAAUGAACAACGGUUUUAAGAUGGUUUCUUGCUCUCACUUCUGGAUGGACCUGCGGUGCAUUAACUUGUUGGUGGGGUAACGCCCUACCAAGGCGGGGAUGCAUAUCCGAGUUGAGACCCUGAUUCCCCCCGAUGGGACUGAGACACGGCCCAUACUCCUACGGGAGGUGGUGGAGGGAAUCUUCCGGGUGGGCGCAAGCCUGAGGGAUCAACCCCGCGUGAGUGAAGAAGGGUUUCGGCUCACAAAGCUCUGUUGUUAAUGAAGAACCCAAAGGAAAGCCCCUGUUCUUAGGUUGGCGGUAUUUGACCAGAACGUCACGGGUUACUCCCUGCCCUUCGCCUUGGAACUACUUAUGCGGCAAGUGUUAUCCGCCCCUAUUGUUCCUUUAGAGUUUGAACGUGGUUUUCUAAUUCCCAUGUGGAAGCCUUCAGGUUAUCCGGACAGGUGCAUCGGAAACUGGACCUCCUGCAUGCAGAACACGGUAGUGAAACUCCGUGUGUACCGGGGGACUGAUUCUGUUUACUGACCAAGACUUCUGGUCACAGCGGCUACUUGGUAUCCAGCUGACGCCCACACCCCUGGGGGUGUUUCGCAAAUAUGAUAUAUACCCUGGUAGUCCGGGCGUCAACAACCACUGCUGGCUGUAGGAUGUCAGUUCCGUCGACGUCGGCCGUAAGCCUAAGGACUUCGCUGGAAU
rnacentral:rRNA from 2 species